AAUCUGUUUAACAGGGACUGCAGUGUAUUUGCUUCAGGCAGAUGCUUUCAUUCUCUUUGUCUACUGAUGUGGCAGCCCAAAGAAGAAGGGCAGAAAGCAUUUCCCAAUGGAAACAACUUGGUGCACAUGAUGGUGAAGGUUUCAGGAGAGGCCACAGAAGCAAGUUACAAUGAGAAGACAGUCAACUGCAAGCCAGAAGAGAGCUCUCACUGGGAACCAAA